rnacentral:rRNA from 1 species
CCUACGGGAGGCACCAGUGGGGAAUAUUGCACAAUGGGCGCAAGCCUGAUGCAGCCAUGCUGCGUGUAUGAAGAAGGCCUUCGGGUUGUAAAGUACUUUCAGCGGGGAGGAAGGUGUUGUGGUUAAUAACCGCAGCAAUUGACGUUACUCGCGGAAGAAGCACCGGCUAACUCCGUGCCAGCAGCCGCGGUAAUACGGAGGGUGCAAGCGUUAAUCGGAAUUACUGGGCGUAAAGCGCACGCAGGCGGUCUGUCAAGUCGGAUGUGAAAUCCCCGGGCUCAACCUGGGAACUGCAUUCGAAACUGGCAGGCUAGAGUCUUGUAGAGGGGGGUAGAAUUCCAGGUGUAGCGGUGAAAUGCGUAGAGAUCUGGAGGAAUACCGGUGGCGAAGGCGGCCCCCUGGACAAAGACUGACGCUCAGGUGCGAAAGCGUGGGGAGCAAACAGGAUUAGAUACCCCUGUAG